rnacentral:rRNA from 1 species
AGAGUUUGAUCCUGGCUCAGGAUGAACGCUGGCGGCGUGCUUAACACAUGCAAGUCGAACGGAGAUAUCAUUUUCGAAGCGAUUAGUUUACUAAGAGCGGAGAUGUUGCUAUCUUAGUGGCGGACGGGUGAGUAACGCGUGGGUAACCUGCCUUGCACUGGGGGAUAACACUUAGAAAUAGGUGCUAAUACCGCAUAACAGUAGGAGACGCAUGUCUUUUACUUGAAAACUCCGGUGGUGUAAGAUGGACCCGCGUCUGAUUAGCUUGUUGGCGGGGUAACGGCCCACCAAGGCAACGAUCAGUAGCCGGCCUGAGAGGGUGAACGGCCACAUUGGGACUGAGACACGGCCCAAACUCCUACGGGAGGCAGCAGUGGGGAAUAUUGGACAAUGGGGGGAACCCCUGAUCCAGCGACGCCGCGUGAGUGAAGAAGUAUUUCGGUAUGUAAAGCUCUAUCAGCAGGGAAGAAAGAAAUGACGGUACCUGACUAAGAAGCCCCGGCUAACUACGUG